rnacentral:tRNA from 1 species
GAGGGUAUAGCUCAGUGGUAGAACAUAUGCUUAGCGUGUGUGAGGUCCUGGGUUCAAUUCCUAGUACCUCCA